rnacentral:rRNA from 1 species
GAUGAACGCUAGCUACAGGCUUAACACAUGCAAGUCGAGGGGCAGCAUGACGGAAGCUUGCUUCCGUUGAUGGCGACCGGCGCACGGGUGAGUAACGCGUAUCCAACCUGCCCUUGUCCAUCGGAUAACCCGUCGAAAGGCGGACUAACACGACAUGCAGUUCUCAGCAGGCAUCUAACGAGAACGAAAUGUGAAGGAGAAGGAUGGGGAUGCGUCUGAUUAGCUUGUUGGCGGGGUAACGGCCCACCAAGGCGACGAUCAGUAGGGGUUUUGAGAGGAAGGUCCCCAACAUUGGAACUGAGACACGGUCCAAACUCCUACGGGGGGCAGCAGUGAGGAAUAUUGGCCAAUGGGCGAGAGCCUGAACCAGCCAAGUAGCGUGCAGGAUGACGGCCCUAUGGGUUGUAAACUGCUUUUAUACGGGGAUAAAGUGGGCCACGUGUGGCUUAUUGCAGGUACCGUAUGAAUAAGGACCGGCUAAUUCCGUGCCAGCCGCCGCCGUAA